UGAGAAAAAAAAAAAAAAAAAAAAAAAAAAAAAAAAAAAAAAA
rnacentral:ribozyme from 1 species